UUCGUUGUAGUCUAGUUGGUUAGGAUACUCGGCUCAAGAGACCCGGGUUCAAUUCCUGGCAACGGAA
rnacentral:tRNA from 1 species